rnacentral:rRNA from 1 species
AGAGUUUGAUCCUGGCUCAGAUUGAACGCUGGCGGCAGGCCUAACACAUGCAAGUCGAACGGUAACAUUUCUAGCUUGCUAGAAGAUGACGAGUGGCGGACGGGUGAGUAAUGCUUGGGAACUUGCCUUUGCGAGGGGGAUAACAGUUGGAAACGACUGCUAAUACCGCAUAACGUCUUCGGACCAAACGGGGCUUCGGCUCCGGCGCAAAGAGAGGCCCAAGUGAGAUUAGCUAGUUGGUAAGGUAACGGCUUACCAAGGCGACGAUCUCUAGCUGUUCUGAGAGGAAGAUCAGCCACACUGGGACUGAGACACGGCCCAGACUCCUACGGGAGGCAGCAGUGGGGAAUAUUGCACAAUGGGGGAAACCCUGAUGCAGCCAUGCCGCGUGUGUGAAGAAGGCCUUCGGGUUGUAAAGCACUUUCAGUUGUGAGGAAAAGUUAGUAGCUAAUACCUGCUAGCCGUGACGUUAACAACAGAAGAAGCACCGGCUAACUCCGUGCCAGCAGCCGCGGUAAUACGGAGGGUGCGAGCGUUAAUCGGAAUUACUGGGCGUAAAGCGCACGCAGGCGGUUUGUUAAGCUAGAUGUGAAAGCCCCGGGCUCAACCUGGGAUGGUCAUUUAGAACUGGCAGACUAGAGUCUUGGAGAGGGGAGUGGAAUUCCAGGUGUAGCGGUGAAAUGCGUAGAUAUCUGGAGGAACAUCAGUGGC